CUCCCAUUUCCGGAAGCCUGGCGCAAGGUUGGUCUGCAGGUGGCCUCCAGGUGCAAAGUGGGAAGUGUGAGUCCUCAGUCUUGGGCUAUUCGGCCACGUGCCUGCCGGACAUGGGACGCUGGAGGGUCAGCAGCGUGGAGUCCUGGCCUUUUGCGUCCACGGGUGGGAAAUUGGCCAUUGCCACGGCGGGAACUGGGACUCAGGCUGCCCCCCGGCCGUUUCUCAUCCGUCCACCGGACUCGUGGGCGCUCGCACUGGCGCUGAUGUAGUUUCCUGACCUCUGACCCGUAUUGUCUCCAGAUUAAAGGUACGACAUUUGGAGGCCCCAGCGAGAAACGUCACCGGGAGAAACGUCACCGGGCGAGAGCCGGGCCCGCUGUGUGCUCCCCCGGAAGGACAGCCAGCUUGUAGGGGGGAGUGCCACCUGAAAAAAAAAUUUCCAGGUCCCCAAAGGGUGACCGUCUUCCGGAGGACAGCGGAUCGACUACCAUGUGGGUGCCCACAAAAAUUCCACCUCUGAGUCCUCAACUGCUGACCCCGGGGUCAGACACGGGGUUUCACCAUGUUGGCCAGGCCGGUCUUGAACUUGUGACGUCAGGUGAUGCACCCGCCUUGGCCUCCCAAAGUGCUGGGAUUACAGGUCCAGAUUUUGAACAAAUCUCGCUAGAGAUUGAACAGAGCUGCGCCUGGAUCCCGCCACAGUGAGGAGACCUGAAGACCAGAGAAAACACAGCAAACGGAGUCUUGCUCUGUUGUCCAGGCUGGAGUGUAGUGUGGCGAUCUCGGCUCCCUGCAAGAAUCUGCCUCCCAGAUUCACGCCAUUUUCCCACCUCAGCCCCUGGAGUAGCUGGAAGUACAGGCUCCCGCCACCACGCCUGGCUAAUUUUGUUUUUGUAUUUUUAGUAGAGACGGGGUUUCACUGUGUUAGGUAGGAUGGUCUCGAUCUCCUGACCUCAUGAUCCAUCCGCCUUGGCCUCUCAAAGUGCUGGGAUUACAGGCAUGAGCCACCGCACCUGGCUGUUUUUUCAUUUCUAUUAUGAUUUGUUCUGUGGAAUGUCAGUGACUUAGCGGUGUUUUUCACAUGUUUAUAAAGCUGAAUAGUUCUGUAUGUCAGCUCAGCACCCCUAGUGUCAGUCAUGCUACUCUCCUGCUGUGCAUAGAUGGGGGCCUGUCCACACCCAAAUCUCCUGGGUUCCCGCUGUCCGCACCUGAAGGUACCCACCAGAUGUGUCUGUCACUGCCCUCCAUCCACCUUUCUUGUGGUUCUCAUGUUUCUGCCUCCCUAGAGACCAUUUCUCUCUACAGCAGUAGUUUCCAAUAGAAAUACAAUGCCAGACACAUACGUCAUUUUAGAUUUUCUAGUAGUCACUUUAGAAAAGUGAAAAAGAGGCCAGCUGCAGUGGCUCACACCUGUAAUCCCAGCACUUUGGAAGGCUGAGGUGGGUGGAUCACGAGGUCAGGAGAUCGAGACCAUCCUGGCCAACAUGGUGAAACCCCCUCUCUACUAAAAAUACAAAAAAUUAGCUGGGCGUGGUGGCAGGCGCCUGUAGUCCCAGCUACUCGAGAGGCUGAGGCAGGAGAAUGGCGUGAACCCGGUAGGCAGAGCUUGCAGUGAGCCGAGAUAGCGCCACUGCACUCCAGCCUGGGCGACAGAGGGAGACUCCAUCUCAAAAAAAAAAAAAAGGUUACAAAGAAACAGGUGAAAUUAGUUUUAUUUCACCUAAAAUGUUAGCAUUAUCCAAAAUAUCACUUCAACAUCUUAUCAAAAUAAAAAUUAUUAAUGAGAUAGCUUACAGUCUUUCUUUUCUUUGAGACAGGGUCUUGCUUUGUGGUCCAGGCUGGAAUGCAGUGGCACCAGCAUAGCUCAUUGCAGUUUCAGACUCCUGGGCUUGAGAUCCUCCUGCCUCAGUCUUCCUAGUAUUCGGACUACAGGCACACACCACCAUGCCACGCUAGUUUUUUUUUUUUUUUAAAGACAGGGUCUCACUCUGUCAGCCGGGCUGGAGUGCAGUGGCACAAUCUCGGCUCACUGCAGCCUCGAUCUCCGGGGCUGAAAUGAUCCUCCCACCUCAGCCUCCCAAGUAGCUGGGACCAAAAACAUGUGCCACCACGCCUGAAUAAUUUUUGUAUUUUUUUGUUAAGACAGGGUUUCGGCAUGUUGUCCAGGCUGGUCUUGAACUCCAGAGCUGAAGUGAUCCACCCACCUUGGCUUCCCAAAGUGUUGGGAUUACAGGCAUGAGCCACUGCACUCGGCCUAAUUUUUUUUUUUUCUGAAGAGAUGAGGUCUUGCUAUGUUGCCCAGUCCAGUCUCAAACUUCUGGCUCAAGCAGUCCUCCCGCCUUGGCCUUCCAAAGUGCUGGGAUUACAGAUGUGAGCCACCACACUGGCCCAUUCUUUCUUUUAUACUGAGUAUUCAGAAUUUUUUUAAAAUGUGUUUUCCACUUACAGCAUUUCUCAGGUUGGACUAGCCAUCUUUCAAGUGCUCAGCAGCCACAUGUGGCAAGUGGCUGCCUUAUUGGACAGCACAGCUCUGGAGGGUGAUUUUAUGUACAUCCCCACUGCUCUCUCUGCCUCCUUUAUUCCCAUCUACCCCACACCCCUGCAGUCUGUGACUAUCGUGUCCCUCUCUCCUCUCUUUCUGUCUCUUGUAAUUCUUUAAUAUGGAGAAUUAUUUCCAAUUCCUUAACAUCCUGCGCUGAUUUUUUUCUGUCUUACAUUCAAGGGUCACAGUUUUCCUCUCACCCUCAUUUCAGUCUUUUCCCAUAACACGUGACGUGCCUUUUUGUCUUGGUUGGGUAUUUAUUUGCAAUACAAGAAUGAUUGUUUUCUUUGAUACAUUAGUGACUUACAUAGUUUUCAUGUUUUUUG
rnacentral:lncRNA from 1 species